CGGGGUGUAGUUCAGUUGGCUAGAACACCUGCUUUGGGAGCAGGGGGUCGUACGUUCGAGUCGUAUCACCCCGA
rnacentral:tRNA from 1 species